CAGCUUCAUCGUCUUCCAGCGUCGAGUCUCUUCCUCCCCCUCCCCGACACUUCAUCUUCUCCAAACGUAUGCUUUUACCGUUACUUUCUCAAUCAAUGACGCUGUCAAAGCUAUUCUUCAAUGUUGUGGUCCAUCUCUCCUUGAUACUUCUCUUAUAUAAAUCUCUGUCUCAAAACCUAAAGCCACCCUAAAUUAAAAAACCUAAUCUGCAAAAAAUAGUCUCAGCUUAUCACCAGAAAAUCUCCCGUCGCCAUGUGUUUCAACGACAUCUCACCAUGAUGAUCUGAGUCACAGCUUCAAUUCAGGAAACAAAUCUCGAACGCCUAGAUCUGGAAGCCAUGAAGCAUCUGAACCCAAAACUACGACUAAUGUUCACAGGGACGGCAAUGACGGACGAUAGAGAAGAAGGGUAAAAAAUCGUUGAGAUAUUAAAAAAAACAGCCUUUAGAUAGAAUACUCCUAGGAGGGAGACAAAAAUGAGAGGACUAAAUCAUCUUCAGAUGCUCGAACCAGUGCUCGUGCUUGAAUCGACCAUCCUUGCUUCCGCCUUCCGGUUGGUUUAAAGAAAGGUGCAGCCAAGUGUGUAAGAAAUCUAAGGUGUCUAAUGCUAACUUCCACUGGACACAACUUCAAUGGAUGGAAACCAUACCUAUGGUCUGAAUUAUUAACCCUUGAGUUGCUUAGCAAGUGAUGCUUAGUACUGAACCAACAACUAAGCUCACAUUUGCAGUCUCAGUGUUUAUGAUUUUCGCUCCUGGUUUGUAGAGACAGAGGGUAAAAGCUAUGAUCGGGUCAGUCGGACAGAGAUCGCGAUGUUGGGAGCAAUCGUUUGUGUAGGAGAACCAAAGGCUUCCGAGCUCCAGAGGAUUCCUUCUGACGUGUGGUCAGCAGGAGUAAGAUUAACUUUGUCUCAUUGAUUUGUUAGGAUUGCAUAGCCUGGUUUGUUAAUCCUCUCUCUUUUAUACCAAAUUAGUUUCUGCUCUAUUGAACAUAAUUGCAUUUCCAUUUUCUCUUCCUGGACAUUGAGAGAUCAUGAAGAAUUCGAGGUCAAGAUCAAUGGUUUAGUUGUAACUGCACCAGUUCCUGAAGAAGUCUAGAAUAUCCACUACGGUACUCUUUGGCCCGGUAAAAAUGUGCCAUGAUCAAGGUCUUCCUUGGAAACAAAGGUCUUAACGAUGUAGAAAACUACGAGCUCCCUAGGCUGGUUUAUGUUCUCGUGAGGAGGGAGCCCAGAUCCGACCAUCUUAAGAAGGUUGAAGAAAUAACUUUAUUGGUAAACGAUUAAGCUUAAUCUUUGAUUGUAUUAUUUAAACUGAAAUAUAAUGUUCUCUCGCAAACUUAACUGUGAUUACUACAUCAACAAUAGCAAAGCUCACAGAAGCAAUGUGUUUCCCAAAGGAUCCUUAGUCGGGAAAAAGCUUUGUUAUGUCAAUUCCCUGAACAAGCACUAUUAUUAGCAGCACUUGAAAGUUGACCAUCAUGACUAUUUUUUGAUCCCCCACCCACAACAAAGAGACUUCUUACGAGUUUUCCAAGGAGCUAGAAAACAGAGAAUGUGAGUUUUGGAAUCCGGGACAUACGGAUUUGCAACACUUGAAGUAGUGUUCUUGAACAAUGUCCUAAACUAGAAAGUGCAAACACUGAACGGCUCAAGGAACCAUGGACACUCUCGAUUUUGAAUCUGGCAUUUCAUUAAAUGAUAUCCAAUAUGCAGCAGAGAAUCCAAGCGGAAUAAAGGUUGAAUAUUAAACUGGUAACAAGGCGGGACUUAAUGUUUCGUUGAUUGGAAUGUGAACAAUGAUUUUGUAUCAACCUUUCCUUAUAGGGGACUCACAUUGAGUUUUGUUUUUGUUCAAUGUGGCAAAAGUUAGUGAGAUGUAUAUACAUGUUUCAAACAAGUUCGUGACUGAUUACGUUGCUGACAUGUGAGCAAUCUAUGAUUAUUGGUUUGUC